GAAUCAAAGAAAGAAGAUGGAAACUAUUUUUCACUGGUGCCUAUAAUCAUUGUUCCAAUUUCUGAGGACCGAGGGUAAACUAAAAAUGUUGGAUAAUGGAGAUUCAUUAUCAUGACUUCAAGGAAAGAAAUUACUCUCCCAUAAAUUCUAGGUAAUUUGUCUUUUCCAAGCUAUCUAGCAAUGAAUUUCUGUUUGUUUACAGCUUACGUAGGGACACCUUUUUCACAAACGGCCGCGGCGACUUGCCGUCUUGUAUCUGUCUUCAUUUAUCUGAAACCUGUGUGGCUUCAGAAUGUUUAUUUCCUUUUUGACCCCAGAGCAGAUAGUAACAAAGGACACUUUUAAAGUGAAGGAGUGAAAAAUUGGGUUGAUGUCUCAGGAUCACAAAGAAUUACCUUUGCCUGAAAUACCCAGAGGCUCAGCAUUGGAAACCCAGAAGCCCUAUUGCCAGGAUUGUCUGGUGAGACUGGAGGCAUCCAGCCUUAAAGCAAGGAGAGACAUCUGAUGACAUUUCUCAUUACCGACAAAGAAAACAGAUGAACAUAUGACCUCAAACCCACGCCAGCUGACUUAAUGAGCAGAAGAUAAAUUGUUGUGUUCAUCGAUGGAAGAGAAGAGGAUUAACAAAAAGACGCAUGUAGCCAGGAAGUGAAUUCAAUGAUCACCUCUGUUCCAGGCGCUAAAAAGUGGGAUGAAGACAAAGACCAAAUGGAAGAGAAGUCAGAAAUUACUAUCAAUGAUAAUACGGUAACUAUAAACAGAUUCUUUCUGCUCUUUGCUUUCAUAUUCUCAAUUGCUCCUCUUUCUUGUAUUGGGGAAUUGGCUUCCCUGAUGACAACUACAGGUGUUGAUAGGUUGGAUGGAGCCAGAGAUCACGGUGACAAAGGAGAGGCCGUGGUUCAGGAACCAGGCAGGUCCUGGCAGGGGACUGGGGCAAGGCAAUGAGAAAAGUCGGCACGCCAAAUUUCAAGGGAGGGACUGAGACAUCAAAAAAUACAGUAGGUGGUAACUGUAGAUGGGAUACAAUGUGAGGACUGUGUCUGCAGGGCAACGCACUGGCUCAGUUACUAGAGCAGAGCAUGAGGCUGGGGAGACACUGAGUUCCUGGCUUGACUCCUUUUUUGUCGACCUGUUGAUGAUCUGGUCCCAGAGUUACUUAUGUGGCUUACUCUGCAAAUGGAACUCACCCUACUCAGCUAUGGAACGUAGCUCUGGGGGAAGCUCAUUAAAUAGGGCAGUCAUACCUCUCAGUGGUAUAAAAUCCAGGACUUUGCAGGGAAUUGGAAGACCAUCCUAGAUUUUCUGGCUACUAGUUGGGACCAGCUACCUUCUCUCUUUGAGCUGUAUUUCUCCCCCACACUGUGGUGCUAUUCUGAGGAUCCCCUUUUUCCUUUCUUUCCACUUUCAUUUUGGAUUAAAAUGAGAAUUAUGUUGGAAACAUCAUGAUGCUAAUUAUGAGAUCAUUAAUUAUAAAUUGAUAUCUGUGUCAAACAAAAGCUGACAACUGCUUGCCUUCUGUGAAGGGUUUUUAGAUGAUUUUAUACUCGGCUCACACUGGGCCCGUUAACUAGAUAAAUUGGAUUCAAUAUAAAAAGCAUUUUAUCCUCUCAAAACAGGAUGCAAAGCCACUACCUGCUCAAACCCAGGGACUCCGUUCUGAGCCUUGGAUAUGUUGGGGUGCUCUGAAGUUGUACCACGUACUGCCUGCUUGACUGUGGGUCGUAACUUUGUACACCUUCAUCAUGUUAUUGGUCAAAUUUAAUUUCCCAAAGGUCAGAAAGCUCAAAGUAUUUCAUGUUUGCAUACCUUACCCUUGAAAAGAGAAGAUGGCAGUCAAUUUCUUUUUCCAUUUUAUUCAGUUUAUCCUUUGGAAUUUCCCAACUGGUGAUAAAGAAAACUGCAUUUGUUAUAAGUGGAAGGAACUUAAUUGAGCGUAUUGGUUUUGUUCUAGAUGGCUAUUUGUAAGUAUGCAGAAACCAAAUGCCACUUGGGAAGUAAAAAUCACUUUUUCCAGUGCAGUAUUUUUAAUUAUGUCUUUUCACCUGAGCUCCAGGGCAAAAGUUCCAUUUUUCCUCCCUGCUCAUUAUUAGCAAAACCCACAAGGACCGGGUUUUCUAAUUUCAUAUUUUUAAGUGAAUUUAGCAUGCAAAGUAUUCUGAAAUGACAUUAGAUGUGUAGUUAAGAAAAGACCUAGGCUCUGGAAUUUCUUUGCUUCACACAAAUCUUUAUAUUCUACCUAGUCUGACUGCCCUCCGUUCACAUAGAAAUACUUAACCAUACAGCCUGCAUGUUACUCGAAGUGUGUUCAAUGGCUUGUUGUGAUUAUUGUUUUUUUUAACUGAAGUAGAGUCGAUUUACAAAGUUGUGUUGAUUUCUGCGGUACAGCAUGGUGAUUCAUAUAUAUAUAUAUUCCUUUUCAUAUU